rnacentral:lncRNA from 1 species
CAACAGAAUCAGUCGGAAUGUUUUCCAUAGAGUUACAAGCUAGAUUGAUCUAUGAUGAGCACAGUGAAGUUGAAACAGAGGACCAAUAAGCAGAGGACAAAGAUGAACAGAGUCUUUGGUAAAAACCAGAGAGAACCCACAAAUCAGUGGUCAAGCUACUGAUUAUUUAUUCACAACUGUGCAUUUAUUCAAAGCUUUAAACUUGGGGAUUAGCUGCUACUGUAUCUUCGUCGGCGACGGUCAAUUCAGAAAUGCUACUUCAAUUUCCUUACGGGCUUAUGGAAUACCUUAAUACAAACGGUUAGAUAUGAAUCUAAAUGGUACAUACAUAGGUACAACUUCAGUGACACUAUCAAAGUGGUCGAGGUUGGCUUCAGCAAUGGCUGCAGGCUUUGGAGAUUGUCACUACAAUUGGCUCCAUGAGCUCAGGCGGAGAGACUCCGGUACAGGGCUGUCCAAAUUUGGAAGCGCCAUUCUUUUGAACGGAGAUUCUCUCGAACCUUACCCAACUCCAUCACCUGACCAAACAAUCCAACUAUGACGACUUUUUUGUCAUCAAUGACUUCCUGAUUGAUGAUCAUGAUUUUCAGUAGAAUUCUUUGUGUUUGUGGGUGUGAAAUGGACGAAAUGCAGGAGGAUUUUAUAGGCGAGCAUCGAUAAACAUGAACAAUAUUUUACAUGUAUGGGAAUUGAGGUUGAAAAGAUAUAUUUGGAUUCGAAAAUUGAUUUUACGUCAUGACAUCCAAUAGUUAGUUAACACGUCUUCUUUUUACAUUAUGACAUCUAAUAAAUAAUUGACACGUCUCUUUUUUACGUCAUGGUAUCCAAUAGAUAGUUG